ACUACGGGUGGCAGCAGUGGGGAAUAUUGGGCAAUGGGCGCAAGCCUGACCCAGCAACGCCGCGUGAAGGAAGAAGGCUUUCGGGUUGUAAACUUCUUUUCUCAGGGACGAAGAAAGUGACGGUACCUGAGGAAUAAGCCACGGCUAACUACGUACCAGCAGCCGCUGUAAUACGUAGGUGGCAAGCGUUAUCCGGAUUUAUUGGGUGUAAAGGGCGUGUAGGCGGGAGCGCAAGUCAGAUGUGAAAACUCAGGGCUCAACCCUGAGCCUGCAUUUGAAACUGUGUUUCUUGAGUGCUGGAGAGGCAAUCGGAAUUCCGUGUGUAGCGGUGAAAUGCGUAGAUAUACGGAGGAACACCAGUGGCGAAGGCGGAUUGCUGGACAGUAACUGACGCUGAGGCGCGAAAGCGUGGGGAGCAAACAGGAUUAGAUACCCCUGUAGUC
rnacentral:rRNA from 1 species